rnacentral:rRNA from 1 species
UAGGGAAUCUUCCGCAAUGGACGCAAGUCUGACGGAGCAACGCCGCGUGAGUGAAGAAGGAUUUCGGUUCGUAAAACUCUGUUGUUAGAGAAGAACAGCGCAUAGAGUAACUGUUAUGCGUGUGACGGUAUCUAACCAGAAAGCCACGGCUAACUACGUGCCAGCAGCCGCGGUAAUACGUAGGUGGCAAGCGUUGUCCGGAUUUAUUGGGCGUAAAGCGAGCGCAGGCGGUCAAUUAAGUCUGAUGUGAAAGCCCCCGGCUCAACCGGGGAGGGUCAUUAGAAACUGGAAAACUUGAGUGCAGAAGAGGAAAGUGGAAUUCCAUGUGUAGCUGUGAAAUGCGCAGAGAUAUGGAGGAACACCAGUGGCGAAGGCGACUUUCUGGUCUGUAACUGACGCUGAUGUGCGAAAGCGUGGGGAUCAAACAGG